rfam:Medicago truncatula strain A17 chromosome 7, whole genome shotgun sequence.
CCCAUAAAUAAUAAAAAAAUCCGUUUAGGUCACUUAAUUUUAAGGUAUUAGUUUGAUCCUUUUUAUUAAUUUAAUUAAAAAAAAACAUUAAAUUUAGGGACUAAACUAAUACUAAUUAAAUAAGAUAAGAGACCAAACUAAUACUAAUGAAAUAAGUUAAGGGACCAAAACUUAACGUUUUUUUGAAUUAAAUUAACAUAAAGAACCAAACUCAUACUUUAAAUAAAGUUAAGGGACCUAAACAGAUUUUUUUAUUAUUUAUGGGA